GAUGAAGAACGCAGUGAAAUGCGAUAAGUAGUGUGAAUUGCAGAAUUCAGUGAAUCAUCGAAUCUUUGAACGCACAUUGCGCCCCUUGGUAUUCCAUGGGGCAUGCCUGUUCGAGCGUCAUUUGUACCUUCAAGCUCUGCUUGGUGUUGGGUGUUUGUCUCGCCUUUGCGUGUAGACUCGCCUUAAAACCAUUGGCAGCCGGCGUAUUGAUUUCGGAGCGCAGUACAUCUCGCGCUUUGCACUCAGAACGACGACGUCCAAAAGUACAUUUUUACACUCUUGACCUCGGAUCAGGUAGGGAUACCCGCUGAACUUAAGCAUAUCAAUAAGCGGAGGA
rnacentral:misc_RNA from 1 species